GGCUGAUGGGAAGUUUUCAUAUUAUAACAGAAUGUAACGCCUUCAUUUGAAGUUUUCCUGUGUUUUAUCCGUUAGACUUUUAUUUUGAAGGAUGCCUUUAUGAAAUAUACUGCUAAAAAACCUUAAGAAAACUUUACCUUGAUCUAACAGCAGUCAGCAAAUACUGAGGUCAUCGGCCUUUUGAUAAAAAAAAAAAAAUCAAAAAUAAAUUUUCCGAGCAACAUAAUGUGUCUAAAAAGUCCAGUAACAAUAAAACCACAAUGGGAAAUGAACGUUCACAUUUUAUUUAAAAACAGCAGUUUAACAGACUUCAUUGUGGAAUUUAAAAGUUUUUACUUUGCUUGAAGUUUAUCCCAUUUAUGUAUUUAUUUGUGUGUGUUUGUGUGUAUGUGGUGAUGAUGGUUUAGGGUUUUUUUUUUCAGAACCACUCUUAUUUUGUGUUUUUUUCAUUUUAUUUAUAUUCCUCAUGACUGGAUCAAGCUGCUGUCUGGACUUGGAUUCUGGAUUUGGACUGAGCUGGACUGAGCCGGCGGUUUGGUUUGGUUUCCAGCUGUGUUUUGCUGUAACUUCACAUGUGGUUUCCUUUGAUUUUUGUAUUGGUGUGGCAUAAAAAUCAAAUGCCAAAAUACAUGUCAACAUGACAUACUCUGGCUUCGCCAAACAUUUAGUUGCUGCGCUUUAGCUCUAACUAUGUAUUUCUGUGAUCCCCUGGCUUUCCCCCUUGCUGCGCCAUGCGGCUGGCAUCUGUUUUUAGUAAAAUAUCUUAAUAACUACUACAUUGUUAUGAAAUUCAUGAUUUUACCCCUGGUACUUUUGAACUUGGAUUUGUUUUUUCCCCCAUAAUUGCCCCCCUUGUGAUCAGCUGUUACAGUGAUCUCUUUAUACUUCGGCUCAGCUUCAUCGUAAAGCUGCAUUAGAUUUGCUAAAUUCUAAUAAAGCGAAUCAAAUAUUGUCAGCCUGACUAAUUAGCAAACAUCUGCUAACACUCUGAGCUAAGAUAGUAAAUAUGGUCGGCAUCGUCCUCGCUAA
ensembl:lncRNA